rnacentral:rRNA from 1 species
UACGAAGGGGGGCUAGCGUUGCUCGGAAUCACUGGGCGUAAAGCGCACGUAGGCGGAUCUUUAAGUCAGGGGUGAAAUCCUGGAGCUCAACUCCAGAACUGCCUCUGAUACUGGGGAUCUUGAGUCCGGAAGAGGUAAGUGGAACUGCGAGUGUAGAGGUGAAAUUCGUAGAUAUUCGCAAGAACACCAGUGGCGAAGGCGGCUUACUGGUCCGGUUCUGACGCUGAGGCGCGAAAGCGUGGGGAGCAAACAGG